UGCGAUGUGGUAUCUGCACUCAGCAGUUUAUUCCUGCUGGUGUGUUCAAAGGACAGUGCAAUAGAAAUUCAGUAUGUGUCAUUGUUGGUUUUCUUGCCUUUGUGCAUGUUAAACCUGGUAUUUAAUAUUGACACAUUA
rnacentral:snoRNA from 1 species